UACGGAGGAUCCAAGCGUUAUCCGGAAUCAUUGGGUUUAAAGGGUCCGUAGGCGGUCUUAUAAGUCAGUGGUGAAAUCUCCCCGCUCAACGGGGAAACGGCCAUUGAUACUGUAGGACUUGAAUUAUUAGGAAGUAACUAGAAUAUGUAGUGUAGCGGUGAAAUGCUUAGAGAUUACAUGGAAUACCAAUUGCGAAGGCAGGUUACUACUAAUGGAUUGACGCUGAUGGACGAAAGCGUGGGCAGCGAACAGGAUUAGAUACCCUGGUAGUCAAGGGCG
rnacentral:rRNA from 1 species